UCCUAGCACGUGAACGUCACUGGUCGGCAGGUGCUAAGACGUCGAAUGCGGCUUAUACGAGAAGGAGCGACCACUAGCGACUCUGCGCGCGCGAUCGAGCGAGCGAGCGAGCGAGCGAACGGCAGUGGUAGCGGGCAAUGGCAACUAUAGAGUUGGUGGUUACACUCUCGCGACGGGGACUCCUAGCCGCUUCACCGCGCGAGCGCGGGCGCGCGCGCGAGCGCGGAUCGUAAGGGGAUCCGCAGGACGUGGACCGACUUCUUCCCUCCUUCUCAGUGCGCGACUCCGACGAGAACGCGUAUGGCCCGCGUCGCUCAACGGAAACCCCUAGAGUCAUGGAUACCAUCUUUGCACCCUUUAUAGCUUUACUGUUUUUUCCAGCGUAUUGAAUAAGCUCGUCGCGACAUGGGAUAUGGCAUCUGUCUGUCUAGCGGAAAAUCUAGAGCGUUAUUUUCCACCGUAAUUACCUUCUGCGAUUAAAGUACUGGAUAAAAGAAGCGAGAAUUGUGUGUUUCACGUCCAUCGUUUUCGAUUCGUCGACCACAUGCUGGUCGACCGUCUAAUAGCAAGAAGUAAUAAAGACGUGAUAAAGCGAAAGUGCGGAGGAAGUCGUGAAGUACAAGCCUCUCGUAAUACAUAAAGCAGAAUCAAAGUAAAGCAUUAUCCGUUUGUACAUAAUUACUGUAAACGACACUUCGCUCGAACAACAUUUUUACAACGUUGAGAGAAGAUCAGUUAAUCAACCAACAUAUAUAUGAAAUAUAUACAUAAAAAAAUAUUUAAAUACCAUUAAUUAAUAAACAUAAACAUUCGUGUAUCCAACUCGUUUUCAUGUUAUAUAUAGAUUUAUACAAAUAAGAUUCUAUCGUAUCUUUAGGUAAUAGGAAUUUAUUAAAAAAUUCCUCGUGAUUAACAAUAGGCUAAUCGAAGAAGAAAUGCGAAAUAUUAUGUCGUAAAAUGCUUCUUGUUGUUGACAUCAAUAAAUGAA